GCCGGCGUAGCUCAGGUAGUUAGAGCGUGACACUCAUAAAGUCAAGGUCCCAGGUGCAAAUCCUGGCGUCGGCA
rnacentral:tRNA from 3 species